GUCCCCUUCGUCUAGCGGUAAGGACACCGGGUUUUCAUCCCGGCAACACGGGUUCGACUCCCGUAGGGGAUG
rnacentral:tRNA from 1 species